UACGAGGGGGGCGAGCGUUGUUCGGAAUUAUUGGGCGUAAAGCGUGCGCAGGCGGUUUGCUAAGACCGAUGUGAAAUCCCCGGGCUUAACCUGGGAACUGCAUUGGUGACUGGCAGGCUAGAGUAUGGCAGAGGGGGGUAGAAUUCCACGUGUAGCAGUGAAAUGCGUAGAGAUGUGGAGGAAUACCGAUGGCGAAGGCAGCCCCCUGGGCCAAUACUGACGCUCAUGCACGAAAGCGUGGGGAGCAAACAGG
rnacentral:rRNA from 1 species